rnacentral:lncRNA from 1 species
ACAAUUCACAUACAGAAUAUANNNNNNNNNNNNNNNNNNNNAUAUAUAUAUAUAUAUAUAUAUAUAUAUAUAUAUAUAUAUAUAGAGAGCUUCUCAGUUAUGGACGUCUGUAUUUUUUCUUACGGUGCGGAUUUCCACGUUACACUCAUUUCAAUCGAAUUUUCACAUCUCCACCGUUUAGUAUUUAGAUAUUAAUGUAUAGAUCAUCUUUGUAAAAUUUCAGCCAAUUUGGUUAUUAUUAAGGUGUUUAAAGAAAUUAUGUUUCCGUCCUUCUGUUAUGUGUCUUGUCCUAAUACACAUAGGAUUGGUUAAUUCGGUUUCCUUAUUAGAAUAGAUUACAGUUGAUAGAACUUCUAGAUUUUUCGGGAGACUCUAUGUAAUGCCUAUGAAUAGGUCUUUCUAUCAAUGAAUGAGUAGACCGUUAUUCUCGUUAUCUUUUCUCCUUCAACACGUUAUCAGCACUGCGCUCUAACCCGAGCUUGAUAACGAAACCCUAAAAAAAAAAAAAAAAACCAGAAAACCCUAACGUUUUCACGUUUUCUGCCGUACCCAAGAAAAUUGCUCUGGGCACCCACCCACCUUCCCUGAGCUCCCCGGCGACCUCCAAAUCACCUCCGGCGUGGACAACCCUACUCCGGCUUUCCCCGACGCUGCCUUGACCCGGACCUUUACGGCUGAAAAUCCAGCAUCCCCACCGUGAUCGAUUGAACCCAGCACUCGAUCUCCGGCGAACCCAGUUCUGCCCGGAUCCAUCCACAGCUAGCGUCUGCCCUAGCCCAGUCACGAGAGCGCGUCUCCGGAAACGCAAGCGGACCUGCGCCCGAUCCGGGAGUAUCAAACCCCACUCGACCGGCGCCGCCUAGUCCAGCCCCUGCCCGCCCGUCUCUCGGCGUCGCCUGCCCGGCACCACGUCCGCCCCCGACCGCUGAUGCAGACUAGAUCCGACCCGGAUCGUUCUCACCCGAUCCAAAACUUACAGAAUGUAAGAGGGGCAAAACGGUAAAUUUGCCCCUCCAGGUAAAACGUUUUUACCCCACUAGUAAAAACAGUUUAUUUACUCUAGUAACUCUUUAAUUAGUUUUACUCUUUAUAUAUAUGGUGAAUAUGACUAACUAUAUGUUUAUAUUUUUCAUGAAUUUUUGCACGCGACAGAUUGCGAUGGAAUUACAAGAGUAACUUCUGCACGCGUGGAAGUACACAUGAAAAUGGCAAAGACAACUUCUGUUAAACGUAGUUUAUUUGGCAAACUAGCAAGUAAGCUUUUAUAAAAGUUGCCGCUUUUGAAUUUUAAUUUCAUAACCGGGCUUCGUAGCUUUCUUCUACCCCCACCUUUCUUAUAAGUGGAUUGAUGUGAGGAAUUGGGACCUCUCAUAUCAAAGUUGAAAUUUGUGAUGGUUUGACAAGUCAUGGUAUUACGACGAAAUAUUGUCGUGGUUAAUAAAGGGACAAACAUCGAUUUGCGACUGAAAUUGUUGCGGUCAACAUCGAUUUGUGACAGAAAUUUUCACAGUUAACAUUGAU